rnacentral:rRNA from 1 species
UCAAGCUAUAAAGAGCGCAAGGGGAAUGCCUUGGCAUCAGGAGCCGAUGAAGGACGUGACAAGCUGCGAUAAGCUGCGGUGAGCUGCACAUAAGCUUUGACCCGCAGAUUUCCGAAUGGGGAAACCCGGCAGAGCAAUACUCUGUCAGCGUGCGUUGAAUCAAAUAGGCGUACGUGGGGAACCGCCUGAACUGAAACAUCUAAGUAGGGCGAGGAAGAGAAAUCAACAGAGAUUCCGCAAGUAGUGGCGAGCGAACGCGGAAGAGGGCAAACCGAAGGAUUUAUCCUUCGGGGUUGUGGACCGACACAACGGCAGGAUAGGUUAGCCGAACGGUAUGGGAAGGCCGGCCAUAGCGGGUGAGAGCCCCGUAGGCGAAAACUGAAUCCUGUUAGUCGAGUUCCAGAGUACCGCCGGACACGUGAAACCCGGUGGGAAACUGGGGGGACCACCCUCCAACCCUAAAUACUACCUGAUGACCGAUAGAGGAGCAGUACCGUGAGGGAAAGGUGAAAAGGACCCCGGGAGGGGAGUGAAAGAGAACCUGAAACCUUGUGCUUACAAGCACUCAAAGCCCGUUAAUGGGUGAUGAGGUACCUUUUGUAGAAUGGUCCGGCGAGUUAUUGUUACUGGCAAGCUUAAGGUAUUCAGUACCGGAGGCGAAGGGAAACCGAGUGUGAACAGCGCGUAUGAAGUCAGUGGCAAUAGACCCGAAACCGGGUGACCUAUCCAUGGGCAGGUUGAAGUGGGGGUAAAACCCCAUGGAGGACCGAACACACGCCCGUUGCAAUGGUCGGUGAUGACCUGUGGAUAGCGGUGAAAUUCCAAUCGAACUCGGAGAUAGCUGGUUCUCCCCGAAAUAGCUUUAGGGCUAGCGUUAACUUAGAUUACCGGAGGUAAAGCACUGAAUGGGCUAGGGGCCGAUAAGGUUACUGAACCCUAUCAAACUCUGAAUGCCGGAUAAUUGAUGGUUAGCAGUCAGUCUACGUGAGAUAAGUCUCGUGGACAAAAGGGAAACAGCCCAGACCCACAGCUAAGGUCCCAAAUGUGUGCUAAGUGGAAAACGAUGUGGAGUUGCGAAAACAACCAGGAUGUUGGCUUAGAAGCAGCCACUCAUUAAAAGAGUGCGUAAUAGCUCACUGGUCGAGUGACUCUGCGCGGAAAAUAUAACGGGGCUAAGCAUGCAACCGAAGCUUGGGCUGCGCAGCAAUGUGCGGGGUAGGGGAGCGUCGUGUACGGGGUGAAGUCGUAGCGGAAGCAGCGGUGGACUUUACACGAGUGAGAAUGCCGGAAUGAGUAGCGAGAAUUAUGUGGGAAUCAUAAUGGCCGAAAAUCUAAGGUUUCUUGGGGAAGGUUCGUCCGCCCAAGGUAAGCCGGGAGCUAAGGCGAGGCCGAAAGGCGUAGUCGAUGCACAUACGGUUGAAAUUCCGUAGCCACCGAACCUUAAGCACACUGACACAUGGAGAUAGCGGGACCCGGGCGUUGGUUGACCCGGGCGUAAGGGACCGAAAUCAAGUAGGGAAGUCCGCGAUGCUCUGUGGCGAGAAAAGGUGUGUGGUAUGCUAAGGUGCCCGUACCGCAAACCGACACAGGUAGAUGAGGAGAGAAUCCUAAGGCCAACGGGAGAAGGGUUGUUAAGGAACUCGGCAAGUUGACCCCGUAACUUCGGAAUAAGGGGUGCUCACGAGAGUGAGCCGCAGAGAAUAGGCCCAGGCAACUGUUUACCAAAAACACAGGUUUGUGCUAAAUCGAAAGAUGACGUAUACGAGCUGACGCCUGCCCGGUGCUGGAAGGUUAAGAGGAGAUGUGCAAGCAUUGAAUCGAAGCCCCAGUGAACGGCGGCCGUAACUAUAACGGUCCUAAGGUAGCGAAAUUCCUUGUCAGGUAAG